rnacentral:rRNA from 1 species
CCUACGGGUGGCGGCAGUGAGGAAUAUUGGUCAAUGGCCGGAAGGCUGAACCAGCCAUGCCGCGUGAAGGUCAAUGCCCUUUGGGCGUUUCAACUCUUUUGUGCGGGAGCAAUCAUGGUCACGUGUGGCCAGACGAGAGUACCGUACGAAUAAGCAUCGGCUAACUCCGUGCCAGCAGCCGCGGUAAUACGGGGGAGGCAAGCGUUAUCCGGAGUUAUGGGGUUUAAAGGGUGCGUAGGCUGUGAGGUAAGUCAGCGGUGAAAUGCCCCCGCGCAACGGGGUGAAGUGCCAUUGAUACUGGCUUGCUGGAAUGCGGAUGCCGUAGGAGGAAUGUGUGGUGUAGCGGUGAAAUGCAUAGAUAUCACACAGAACACCGAUUGCGAAGGCAUCUCACGAAUCCGCGAUUGACGCUGAUGCACGAAAGCGUGGGUAUCAAACAGGAUUAGAUACCCUUGUAGUC